rnacentral:rRNA from 1 species
GGGCCUUUUCGGCCUGCUAACACAUGCAAGUCGACGGAAGGCCUUUUCGGAGGUACUCGAGUGGCGAACGGGUGAGUAACACGUGGGUGAUCUGCCCUGCACUCUGGGAUAAGCCUGGGAAACUGGGUCUAAUACCGGAUAGGACUGCACUUUAGUGUGUGUGGUGGAAAGUUUUUUCGGUGUAGGAUGAGCCCGCGGCCUAUCAGCUUGUUGGUGGGGUAAUGGCCUACCAAGGCGGCGACGGGUAGCCGGACUGAGAGGUUGGUCGGCCACAUUGGGACUGAGAUACGGCCCAGACUCCUACGGGAGGCAGCAGUGGGGAAUAUUGCACAAUGGGCGCAAGCCUGAUGCAGCGACGCCGCGUGGGGGAUGACGGCCUUCGGGUUGUAAACUCCUUUCGCCAGGGACGAAGCGUUUUGUGACGGUACCUGGAGAAGAAGCACCGGCUAACUACGUGCCAGCAGCCGCGGUAAUACGUAGGGUGCAAGCGUUGUCCGGAAUUACUGGGCGUAAAGAGCUCGUAGGUGGUUUGUCACGUCGUCUGUGAAAUUCCACAGCUUAACUGUGGGCGUGCAGGCGAUACGGGCUGACUUGAGUACUGUAGGGGUAACUGGAAUUCCUGGUGUAGCGGUGAAAUGCGCAGAUAUCAGGAGGAACACCGAUGGCGAAGGCAGGUUACUGGGCAGUUACUGACGCUGAGGAGCGAAAGCAUGGGUAGCAAACAGGAUUAGAUACCCUGGUAGUCCAUGCCGUAAACGGUGGGCGCUAGGUGUAGGGGCCUUUUGGGGUUUCUGUGCCGUAGCUAACGCAUUAAGCGCCCCGCCUGGGGAGUACGGCCGCAAGGCUAAAACUCAAAGGAAUUGACGGGGGCCCGCACAAGCGGCGGAGCAUGUGGAUUAAUUCGAUGCAACGCGAAGAACCUUACCUGGGCUUGACAUACACCGGAUCGCUGCAGAGAUGUAGUUUCCCUUGUGGGCUGGUGUACAGGUGGGUGCAUGGCUGUCGUCAGCUCGUGUCGAGAGAUGUUGCGUUAAAUCCCGCACGGAUCGCAACCCUUGUCUUAUC